UGAAAUAUAAUGAAGACGAUCCUUCACAGUCACGAGGUGCUGACGAGGAAAGGGGAUUCAGAGAAUAUUUAGUAACAAAUUCGAUGAAUCCAUUAGAGGCAGCAUGGGCUCCGAUUCGGAAAACUAUACCAAGGACGAUACACGCUGUCGAUGAAAAUGAUGGUCCUACGUAUUUUAACAGACCAUAAUCCCCCACCAUCUCUUUCCGACUUCAUAGAUGGCAAGUCAGCAGAACAAUCUACUCACUCCAAUA